CAGAUUGGAAGAUGGGGGCAACCCUGAUCCAGCCAGGCAGGGUGUGUGAGGAAGGUCGUCGGUUUUUACAGCAAUUUAUGUAUGGGGGAAGGGCUUUGGGGUAUUACAUUGAAGUUGUGCCUACACUAACAGAAUAAUCACCGGCUAACUAUGUCCCACCAGCAGCGGUAAUACAGAGGGUGCAAGCGUUAAUCGGAAUUACUGGGCGGAAAGCGCGCGUAGGUGGUUCAGUAAGAUGGGUGUGAAAUCCCCGGGCUUAACCUGGGAAAUGCUGUCAUAACUGCUGAGCUAGAGUACGGUAGAGGGUAGUGGAAUUUCCUGUGUAGCGGUGAAAUGCGUAGAUAUAGGAAGGAACACCAGUGGCGAAGGCGACUACCUGGACUGAUACUGACACUGAGGUGCGAAAGCGUGGGGGGCAAA
rnacentral:rRNA from 1 species